GAAAUAUUUCAAAAAAGCUUCUAACUUUUUACUAGUGAUCUAUUCAUUAAUAUUUCU
rnacentral:tRNA from 1 species